rnacentral:rRNA from 1 species
GACGAACGCUGGCGGCGUGCUUAACUCAUGCAAGUCGAACGGUAAGGCCCUUCGGGGUACACGAGUGGCGAACGGGUGAGUAACACGUGGGUGAUCUGCCCUGCACUUCGGGAUAAGCCUGGGAAACAGGGUCUAAUGCCGGAUAGGACCACUGCCUGCAUGGGUGGUGGUGGAAGGCUUUUGCGGUGUGGGAUGGGCCCGCGGCCUAUCAGCUUGUUGGUGGGGUGAUGGCCUACCAAGGCGACGACGGGUAGCCGGCCUGAGAGGGUGACCGGCCACACUGGGACUGAGAUACGGCCCAGACUCCUACGGGAGGCAGCAGUGGGGAAUAUUGCACAAUGGGCGCAAGCCUGAUGCAGCGACGCCGCGUGAGGGAUGACGGCCUUCGGGUUGUAAACCUCUUUCAGCACCGACGAAGCGCAAGUGACGGUAGGUGCAGAAGAAGGACCGGCCAACUACGUGCCAGCAGCCGCCGUAA